rnacentral:ncRNA from 1 species
UAUCUUCGGGGUAGGGUGAGAUUCCCGACCGGCAGUAUAGUCUGCGAGCCUUGCGGCAUGAUACGGUGCGAUUCCGUAACCGACGGUACAGUCCGGAUGUGAGAAGGUA